rnacentral:rRNA from 1 species
AAUGAACGCUGGCGGCAGGCCUAACACAUGCAAGUCGAACGGAUCCUUCGGGAUUAGUGGCGGACGGGUGAGUAACGCGUGGGAACAUACCCUUUGGUACGGAAUAGCCUCGGGAAACUGGGAGUAAUACCGUAUGUGGUCGAGAGACGAAAGAUUUAUCGCCAAAGGAUUGGCCCGCGUUGGAUUAGGUAGUUGGUGGGGUAAUGGCCUACCAAGCCGACGAUCCAUAGCUGGUUUGAGAGGAUGAUCAGCCACACUGGGACUGAGACACGGCCCAGACUCCUACGGGAGGCAGCAGUGGGGAAUCUUAGACAAUGGGGGAAACCCUGAUCUAGCCAUGCCGCGUGAUCGAUGAAGGCCUUAGGGUUGUAAAGAUCUUUCAGGUGGGAAGAUAGUGACCGUACCACCGGAAGAAGCCCCGGCUAACUCCGUGCCAGCAGCCGCGGUAA